UUUUGGACGAGAAGGGAAGCUCACCGCUCGCACUGCUUCGCGCGAGUGGGCCAAAGCGAGCCCAUCACAAAUCCGUGCUAUCGUCCCGAAAGGCGAGAUCGUCUUCCAUUUCCGGAAGCGCUUAUGUGAUGGAUGGAUGUGGUGCGGGAUCCAAAAAAUGCUGGCGUGCAUAUCUCGCUCACUGUGCUCAUCUGAAUUAUGUUUCGGGGACCCCGUCAGCAAAGGUUCGUUUUGGCUAAACUCGCUUGCAAGCGUGCUCUAAUACUGCCAAACUUUGACGACGGAAGAAGCGUUUGAUCGUCGCAGCUCCACUGCUGGAUUGCUCGAUUCAUAUACACGGCACACAAACUUAGGUGUAAGCUUUUCUCUCGCACGCAGGAUGUCUUCGUGAAAUCCGACAAAAAACAUCUCACGCGCUGUGAAUCACCUGGUAUUCAUCUCAGCGGACAACAUCUGCUGCUUCUAGUGGCCACGCAGCCGAGAGAGCGAGAGGCGUGCUGGAUUGGAAUGGCAGCAUCGAUCUCGACAAGCUUCACUUUGAGAGGCGGUGCUCAUCACACGCCUCCGCCGCAGAUUCGUCCGCAGCAAAAAACGAACAAGGAGGUGAGCCGAGGUGGGGCCUUUCGCUUUGAUAUCUUUGGCUGUGAUCCAACCUCUCGUCAAAGUUUGCUUGCUAAAAUAACUUGAGUGCUCGACCUCUUUUUUCCUCUCCGAGCGCGGCGCGCAGCGGUAAUAAACGUGGCCAGAGCUUCAGCCAGUAAAAAUCAAAUCACGAGACCAUCAGCUUUGUCUCAGUGGACGGCGCACGGACGAAUUUGAAGCAUCCGCAAAAGAACUUUGACUGGGCUAUACGACAAGCUACAGGGCACCGAGUAUAACACACAUUCGAAUUCUUUUCCAUCGCAUCUUGGACUUUUCAAGCUCGUGUGCUCAGAUUCUAUGGGUGGAAAAGAAGCUUCAUUGCUUUGGAGCUCAGAUUCUUCUCUCAGCAGUGUAAUCACAGCACGCGAGAAUAAAAGAGGAGGAUAGAAACAUUCGCUCA